rnacentral:rRNA from 1 species
UACGGGGGGGGCAAGCGUUGUUCGGAAUUACUGGGCGUAAAGGGCGCGUAGGCGGCCUGUUAAGUCACACGUGAAAUCCCUCGGCUCAACCGGGGAACUGCGUGUGAUACUGGCGGGCUUGAAUUCGGGAGAGGGAUGUGGAAUUCCAGGUGUAGCGGUGAAAUGCGUAGAUAUCUGGAGGAACACCGGUGGCGAAGGCGGCGUUCUGGACUGCAACUGACACUGAUGAACGAAAGCCAGGGGAGCAAACGGG